rnacentral:rRNA from 1 species
AGAGCCCGGUAAGUUUCUUCGCGUUUGUUCGAAUUAAAACAACUGUUCUCCCGGUUUUGGGGGCGUCCGGAAUUUUUUUAGCAACAGAGUUUGAUCUGCUCAGAUUGAACGCUGGCGGCAGGCCUAACACAUGCAAGUCGAGCGGAUGACGGGAGCUUGCUCCUUGAUUCAGCGGCGGACGGGUGAGUAAUACCUAGGAAUCUGCCUGGUAGUGGGGGACAACGUUUCGAAAGGAACGCUAAUACCGCAUACGUCCUACGGGAGAAAGCAGGGGACCUUCGGGCCUUGCGCUAUCAGAUGAGCCUAGGUCGGAUUAGCUAGUUGGUGAGGUAAUGGCUCACCAAGGCGACGAUCCGUAACUGGUCUGAGAGGAUGAUCAGUCACACUGGAACUGAGACACGGUCCAGACUCCUACGGGAGGCAGCAGUGGGGAAUAUUGGACAAUGGGCGAAAGCCUGAUCCAGCCAUGCCGCGUGUGUGAAGAAGGUCUUCGGAUUGUAAAGCACUUUAAGUUGGGAGGAAGGGCAUUAACCUAAUACGUUAGUGUUUUGACGUUACCGACAGAAUAAGCACCGGCUAACUCUGUGCCAGCAGCCGCGGUAAUACAGAGGGUGCAAGCGUUAAUCGGAAUUACUGGGCGUAAAGCGCGCGUAGGUGGUUCGUUAAGUUGGAUGUGAAAUCCCCGGGCUCAACCUGGGAACUGCAUCCAAAACUGGCGAGCUAGAGUAGGGCAGAGGGUGGUGGAAUUUCCUGUGUAGCGGUGAAAUGCGUAGAUAUAGGAAGGAACACCAGUGGCGAAGGCGACCACCUGGGCUCAUACUGACACUGAGGUGCGAAAGCGUGGGGAGCAAACAGGAUUAGAUACCCUGGUAGUCCACGCCGUAAACGAUGUCAACUAGCCGUUGGAAUCCUUGAGAUUUUAGUGGCGCAGCUAACGCAUUAAGUGACCGAAGGGACGCGCAUGUAAAAAAG